rnacentral:lncRNA from 1 species
CUGCACAUGCUGAAUUGAAGGAAGAUUUGGCUUUUCAUAGGAAAGAAUGUGGUUUGUAGUUACCUCAGACCGAAGCCUAAUCCUUACCACACAGGCCUGCCCAUGGCCCAAGAAAUCGUGGUCUCCCUGAAGAUGAAGAUUUUAUUGGUUCUAUACUUGCUGUCUAGCCUGGAAGACACUAGUGCUAGCAUUUCAGAGCAGAGUAGACCCAAAAGGAGGGUGACCUGUUUUGGAGCACAGUCUCCAUUAUUUCUAGGCUGCUGUGAGGCAGAGCAACAAGAUGAGAAGAGAUGUUCUUCCUAUGGUGGCUCAGAAGCAGGAGAGACAGAAAGGGCACAGGGACAAAGUUUGUCUUCCAGGGCAUGUCCCCACAGACCUACUUCCUCCAACUAAGCCCCACCUCUUUAUCUCUACAGCAACCUACAAGAAGAUUACUUCACUGAUGGUGCUGCCACCCUCAUCAUCAGACCUUCAUGAACCUCUAAACCCCUCUGCUUUGGGAACCCGGCCUUGACGAGGGUGUAACAUGCAAUAGCUUGAGCUUCAUUUUGAAGGCCACGCUUCAGGACGCUUCAGACCACUAGGAACGCCGUCAACGGGGCAGGCCGACAAGUCCAUCUAGGGUUUCUUUCCCACUGUCAACCACCUCUGUGGCUUACUGUGCAUCCAGUCAUUGCCACUUCUUGCACUGUGGGUCUCAUGUGCAUAGUGACAUUCGUCCAGUGGGAGCUUUGAGACACCGUGGAACAUCAAGAGACUCAAAUGUCCCACGGAUCAUACCAGGAUGGAGAAGAGAGAGUCAAAGUAAUCCUCACGCUAGAUAGUAAAUGGGCACCACUGCCUUUCCCGUGUGAAAGUGAGCGAUUUUUUCUUUUCCCCUAUGGGUGAAACUUGAGAAGAAAAUAUUUACCAAUUAGUAGACUUGCAAACAAUUGCCAUCUGUAUUGUUGGCUUCCCAUCACUAUAACACAAUACCUGAGGUAAUCAUGCAAUAAGGGGAUUAAUCGUAGAUCAUUAUUUCUGAGGCUUCAGUUCCAAUCUCUCAUCCCUGUUGCUUGGACCUGUGAUGAGGUAGAAUGCAUGGCACCAAAUGUAUAGUCAAGGAAGCCACUCACCUCCCAGCAUCCAGGAAACCCAAAAAGAGAGGGGAAGGACCCGGGGUCCCAAUAUCCUCUUGAAGGGCACCCCACUAGUGACCUAACUUCCUCCUACAUAGCUAAACUUCUUGAAAAUCCAACCGCCUUCUAACAGCACCACAGGCUAAGGACCAAGUCACUAAUGUCUGGAUCUUUGGGGAGGCAUUCAACAUCCAAGCCAUGAUACCAACGAAAGUGAGCUCCUUUUCGUCCUACUUGAUGGAAAUUAAGAAGA